rnacentral:rRNA from 1 species
UGGGGAAUAUUGGACAAUGGGCGAAAGCCUGAUCCAGCCAUGCCGCGUGUGUGAAGAAGGUCUUCGGAUUGUAAAGCACUUUAAGUUGGGAGGAAGGGCAGUAAGCGAAUACCUUGCUGUUUUGACGUUACCGACAGAAUAAGCACCGGCUAACUCUGUGCCAGCAGCCGCGGUAAUACAGAGGGUGCAAGCGUUAAUCGGAAUUACUGGGCGUAAAGCGCGCGUAGGUGGUUCGUUAAGUUGAAUGUGAAAGCCCCGGGCUCAACCUGGGAACUGCAUCCAAAACUGGCGAGCUAGAGUAGGGCAGAGGGUGGUGGAAUUUCAUGUGUAGCGGUGAAAUGCGUAGAUAUAGGAAGGAACACCAGUGGCGAAGGCGACCACCUGGGCUCAUACUGACACUGAGGUGCGAAAGCGUGGGGAGCAAACAGG